rnacentral:rRNA from 1 species
GCACAUAUUGUGAGCUCGAUGAGUAGGGCGGGACACGUGGUAUCCUGUCUGAAUAUGGGGGGCCCAUCCUCCAAGGCUAAAUACUCCUGACUGACCGAUAGUGAACCAGUACCGUGAGGGAAAGGCGAAAAGAACCCCGGCGAGGGGAGUGAAAAAGAACCUGAAACCGUGUACGUACAAGCAGUGGGAGCACGCUUAGGCGUGUGACUGCGUACCUUUUGUAUAAUGGGUCAGCGACUUAUAUUCUGUAGCAAGGUUAACCGAAUAGGGGAGCCGAAGGGAAACCGAGUCUUAACUGGGCGUUAAGUUGCAGGGUAUAGACCCGAAACCCGGUGAUCUAGCCAUGGGCAGGUUGAAGGUUGGGUAACACUAACUGGAGGACCGAACCGACUAAUGUUGAAAAAUUAGCGGAUGACUUGUGGCUGGGGGUGAAAGGCCAAUCAAACCGGGAGAUAGCUGGUUCUCCCCGAAAGCUAUUUAGGUAGCGCCUCGUGAAUUCAUCUCCGGGGGUAGAGCACUGUUUCGGCAAGGGGGUCAUCCCGACUUACCAACCCGAUGCAAACUGCGAAUACCGGAGAAUGUUAUCACGGGAGACACACGGCGGGUGCUAACGUCCGUCGUGAAGAGGGAAACAACCCAGACCGCCAGCUAAGGUCCCAAAGUCAUGGUUAAGUGGGAAACGAUGUGGGAAGGCCCAGACAGCCAGGAUGUUGGCUUAGAAGCAGCCAUCAUUUAAAGAAAGCGUAAUAGCUCACUGGUCGAGUCGGCCUGCGCGGAAGAUGUAACGGGGCUAAACCAUGCACCGAAGCUGCGGCAGCGACGCUUAUGCGUUGUUGGGUAGGGGAGCGUUCUGUAAGCCUGCGAAGGUGUGCUGUGAGGCAUGCUGGAGGUAUCAGAAGUGCGAAUGCUGACAUAAGUAACGAUAAAGCGGGUGAAAAGCCCGCUCGCCGGAAGACCAAGGGUUCCUGUCCAACGUUAAUCGGGGCAGGGUGAGUCGACCCCUAAGGCGAGGCCGAAAGGCGUAGUCGAUGGGAAACAGGUUAAUAUUCCUGUACUUGGUGUUACUGCGAAGGGGGGACGGAGAAGGCUAUGUUGGCCGGGCGACGGUUGUCCCGGUUUAAGCGUGUAGGCUGGUUUUCCAGGCAAAUCCGGAAAAUCAAGGCUGAGGCGUGAUGACGAGGCACUACGGUGCUGAAGCAACAAAUGCCCUGCUUCCAGGAAAAGCCUCUAAGCAUCAGGUAACAUCAAAUCGUACCCCAAACCGACACAGGUGGUCAGGUAGAGAAUACCAAGGCGCUUGAGAGAACUCGGGUGAAGGAACUAGGCAAAAUGGUGCCGUAACUUCGGGAGAAGGCACGCUGAUAUGUAGGUGAAGUCCCUUGCGGAUGGAGCUGAAAUCAGUCGAAGAUACCAGCUGGCUGCAACUGUUUAUUAAAAACACAGCACUGUGCAAACACGAAAGUGGACGUAUACGGUGUGACGCCUGCCCGGUGCCGGAAGGUUAAUUGAUGGGGUCAGCGCAAGCGAAGCUCUUGAUCGAAGCCCCGGUAAACGGCGGCCGUAACUAUAACGGUCCUAAGGUAGCGAAAUUCCUUGUCGGGUAAGUUCCGACCUGCACGAAUGGCGUAAUGAUGGCCAGGCUGUCUCCACCCGAGACUCAGUGAAAUUGAACUCGCUGUGAAGAUGCAGUGUACCCGCGGCAAGACGGAAAGACCCCGUGAACCUUUACUAUAGCUUGACACUGAACAUUGAGCCUUGAUGUGUAGGAUAGGUGGGAGGCUUUGAAGUGUGGACGCCAGUCUGCAUGGAGCCGGCCUUGAAAUACCACCCUUUAAUGUUUGAUGUUCUAACGUGGACCCGUGAUCCGGGUUGCGGACAGUGUCUGGUGGGUAGUUUGACUGGGGCGGUCUCCUCCUAAAGAGUAACGGAGGAGCACGAAGGUUGGCUAAUCCUGGUCGGACAUCAGGAGGUUAGUGCAAUGGCAUAAGCCAGCUUGACUGCGAGCGUGACGGCGCGAGCAGGUGCGAAAGCAGGUCAUAGUGAUCCGGUGGUUCUGAAUGGAAGGGCCAUCGCUCAACGGAUAAAAGGUACUCCGGGGAUAACAGGCUGAUACCGCCCAAGAGUUCAUAUCGACGGCGGUGUUUGGCACCUCGAUGUCGGCUCAUCACAUCCUGGGGCUGAAGUAGGUCCCAAGGGUAUGGCUGUUCGCCAUUUAAAGUGGUACGCGAGCUGGGUUUAGAACGUCGUGAGACAGUUCGGUCCCUAUCUGCCGUGGGCGCUGGAGAACUGAGGGGGGCUGCUCCUAGUACGAGAGGACCGGAGUGGACGCAUCACUGGUGUUCGGGUUGUCAUGCCAAUGGCACUGCCCGGUAGCUAAAUGCGGAAGAGAUAAGUGCUGAAAGCAUCUAAGCACGAAACUUGCCCCGAGAUGAGUUCUCCCUGACCCUUUAAGGGUCCUGAAGGAACGUUGAAGACGACGACGUUGAUAGGCCGGGUGUGUAAGCGCAGCGAUGCGUUGAGCUAACCGGUACUAAUGAACCGUGAGG